CCAGACUCCUACGGGAGGCAGCAGUGGGGGAUAUUGCACAAUGGGGGGAACCCUGAUGCAGCGACGCCGCGUGGGUGAAGGAGCACCUCGGCGCGUAAAGCCCUAUCGGCAGGGAAGAAACAGACGGCACCUGACUAAGAAGCCCCGGCUAACUACGUGCCAGCAGCCGCGGUAAUACGUAGGGGGCAAGCGUUAUCCGGAGUUACUGGGUGUAAAGGGAGCGUAGACGGCAGCGCGAGUCUGGAGUGAAAUGCCGGGGCCCAACCCCGGAACUGCUUUGGAAACUGUGCAGCUGGAGUGCAGGAGAGGUAAGCGGAAUUCCUAGUGUAGCGGUGAAAUGCGUAGAUAUUAGGAGGAACACCAGUGGCGAAGGCGGCUUACUGGACUGUAACUGACGUUGAGGCUCGAAAGCGUGGGGAGCAAACAGGAUUAGAUACCCCAGUACGA
rnacentral:rRNA from 1 species